UACCCGCAGCUCAAGUGGUGGACAUUAUUAUUGGGCCUAAAGCGUCCGUAGCUGGCUUGUUAGAUGCCUGGGUAAAUCGAUGCGCUUAACGCAUCGAAUUCCGGGUAGACCGGCAAGCUCGAGACCGGGAGAGGCGUGAGCUACUCAAGGGGUAGGGGUAAAAUCCUGUAAUCCUUUGGGGAGGACCAGUGGCGAAGGCGUCACGCUAGAACGGCUCUGACAGUGAGGGACGAAGCCCUGGGGCGCAAACCGG
rnacentral:rRNA from 1 species